rnacentral:lncRNA from 1 species
UUUUUGUGUAGUGUAUAUAACCGACUACGGCUGCAGAAUAUACAGUCUCUGGUGUUGAUGGAAAGGAUUGUUUUACCUAGAGGCAGCUUGGUAUGACAUGUUGCAAAGCUUUCUGUUUGAUUAACAGAUAAUAGAUACUGCAGGCACUAGCAAUUAUACUUACCUAGCAAUUGCCGUAUUCCAGUCAUGGAGUCAUAAUCUUAGAAUAAAGGUCUCGGUGUUUAGGCGAAUCUGAGGAAAGUCCAAAAUAUUGCAACAGUUUUACUGUUCCAGUUGUUAAAAUUGUAAGCAAAGACGUAUGCUGGCUUAAACACAUCAACAAGACAACAAAACACUCAUUUCAUAUGCUGGCUCCAGUGAUGUUAAUUCAGCUGCAGAUACUUCUGUUCUCAAAUAUGUAUUGACAGUACCUGUGUCAGAUGUACUGGCAAACAUGUUAUAUCUUCAUUUUUGUCGAGCCCGCUUGCGGAAGCAAAGAUAGAUGUCCAAAUGGCUGUUCUGUGUAUGUGCGUGUGUGCGUGCGUGCGUCUGUCAGGAUUUGUGCGUUUGUCCGGACCAUAACUUUGACAUGCGUGGAGUAAUCUCGUUUAUAAUUGGCAUGAACACUUUUCUGUAGUACAAUAUGCCUGUUACAUCCAAUUGGUGUUUUUAGACCUAUCUCUACUGGUAAGGAUUUUUGUGUGGACUUUUUUUUUAAGAUUUACUUCCCUUUGUUGUUACUAUGAAUAACUAAUUUUGUAACUUUUUGCAAUCAUUUUUUAUUUGGCAUAAAUGUUUGCCUCAAUGAGACAGGGUGUCAUGUGCAACUCCUAGUCCUUUUGACAGCUGGCGGGCUUAACAUGUUGCCCAUGGGCAUCUAGUGUUAAAACUUUCCUAUAAACUGACUCUAGUACAACCAAGUACUGUCUGAUAAGAAUGUGUUGUGGCGGAUCUCGCCUCAUAAACAUACAUAUACAUAUAGACAAACACACCAAGAACAGGAGUCUGCUGCAAACCUGCUUUAUAAAUGAAGGGACAUUAGAGACUGGAUUCCUUUCCCUUACCAUGCUUAUUCAGACUGUCCUUUGAUCUUUACAGAUAAAUCUGUUUUAGUUGGACAUUCAUUUCUUUUUGUGGUUUUGCAACUUGACAUUUUAGUUGUUUUUUUAGAGUUAAUGCUUUUACAUUUGAAAAUAUGAAAACAAUAUUAUUUUAAUGUGAUUUUUGCA